rnacentral:snoRNA from 1 species
AGCCUUCAGGUUUUCCCCCAUCAGAUCUAAAUACUGGUCUGAAUGGUUACCAAAGGAGGAAAGGUAAUAUUGAAAUUGACUUAAAGGCUUUUGUAGUAAGUAGGCUGGUUAUAAACCANN